rnacentral:rRNA from 1 species
AUUGAACGCUGGCGGCAGGCCUAACACAUGCAAGUCGAGCGGAUGAAGGGAGCUUGCUCCUGGAUUCAGCGGCGGACGGGUGAGUAAUGCCUAGGAAUCUGCCUGGUAGUGGGGGAUAACGUCCGGAAACGGGCGCUAAUACCGCAUACGUCCUGAGGGAGAAAGUGGGGGAUCUUCGGACCUCACGCUAUCAGAUGAGCCUAGGUCGGAUUAGCUAGUUGGUGGGGUAAAGGCCUACCAAGGCGACGAUCCGUAACUGGUCUGAGAGGAUGAUCAGUCACACUGGAACUGAGACACGGUCCAGACUCCUACGGGAGGCAGCAGGGGGGAAUAUUGGACAAUGGGCGAAAGCCUGAUCCAGCCAUGCCGCGUGUGUGAAGAAGGUCUUCGGAUUGUAAAGCACUUUAAGUUGGGAGGAAGGGCAGUAAGUUAAUACCUUGCUGUUUUGACGUUACCAACAGAAUAAGCACCGGCUAACUUCGUG